rnacentral:rRNA from 1 species
UACGUAGGGGGCAAGCGUUGUCCGGAAUCAUUGGGCGUAAAGCGCGUGUAGGCGGUUCGGUAAGUCUGCUGUGAAAGUCGAGGGCUCAACCCUCGAAUGCCGGUGGAUACUGUCGGGCUAGAGUACGGAAGAGGCGAGUGGAAUUCCUGGUGUAGCGGUGAAAUGCGCAGAUAUCAGGAGGAACACCAAUUGCGAAGGCAGCUCGCUGGGACGUUACUGACGCUGAGACGCGAAAGCGUGGGGAGCAAACAGG